rnacentral:lncRNA from 1 species
UUGCAACUGCCAUGCUUGCCGCUGCGUUUGCCCUUUACCCGCCCUACAUCCAUUUGACAACGCCCCUGUCCUCGUGCCCACCCAAUCGCUGUCGAACGGGUCGCGCCGCCCCAACUCUCUGCAGGCGUUUGCCAAUGCCAGGAUGCCAUGUCACAAUCUCACACAUGCAUGAUGCCCUCCAAUACACGAGUCCGAACACUGUCCGAUACAACGGGUGCACUCGGGCAAGCCGCAGUGCCGCAGUAGCGCCCGGGGAGCUGAACGUCCGAGUGCGAGUGCACGUGGGGGCGCGCGGCCUCGGAACCGCCGGCGAGGCUGCGCGACUCAGCCGAGCCGUGCCUGCGUCAUGCAAAUCGUACUCGAAUACCAAGCUAACCAACUCCCCCUGCACCAUAAGCGUCUGAUGAUACAGCAAGGGUGGAGGUGCCAGCGCCGCGGCUGGUUUAGUCGCCGUCGGCCCCUGUGUGCCACAGCCCAGAGCGGCGGUGUGGGUGUGGCGACCAACCGCGGCAGCUUGCCGCUUUGCCGCCAUCGCACCGCGCGCGCUUACGCCAUCACCGCUACCUUGGCCUGCACCUCCGCCGUGUGCUGCUGCUGCUGUUGUUGCUGGUACUGGUGCUGCUGCUGCUGCUGUUGCUGCUGUUGCUGGUACUGGUGCUGGUGCUGCUGCUGCUGCGUGAAGUGCGCCUGCUGCUGGUGCUGGUACGUGUGCAGCUGUGUGCCGGCGGCGGCCUGCCGGAAGGCCACGGCGGCGGCCUGCAGCUCCUGCCGCAGCCGCGCCAGCUUCUCGGGGCUCAGCGAGGCGCUGAAGCGCGACUGCACGCAGCCGUCCCGCACCGCGUGGAAGAAGGGCACCUGCAAGGUGGCGGCGGCGAAGGCGGGGCGGGCGGCACGGGGUGAGCCACAGCACGCAGCGUUGAGCGGCACCGCCGAGCAGGCGCUACUACCCGGAUCGCACAGCCCUAACCCACUCUGCCGCAAACCCACAUCGCAAGGCGAACCCAAAAAAACACCCCUUGCGCGUCCCGGCUUCAUCACCCGCCUGCCCGCUGCCGCCCGCCCCCUGGGUCUCGCCCGCACCUUGGUGAUGCCGUGCGCCUCGAACAACGGGCGCAGCUGCUCGCGGCUGCCGUUGACCUUGAGGAACAGAACCUCCGGGUGGUCGGCAGCCAGCUUCUUCAGCUUGGGGUGCAGCGUGCGGCAGGCUGGAGGCGAGGAAAUUGAGGCGAGGAAAACAAGGGAAGGGAGAGGAGCGAGGGGAGGGGAGGGGAGAGGAAGGUGAGGCGUUGACCCACAUGCGUGCGAGCGUUGACCAGUACCCCGCAACGCUGGGUUACACUUCCAGUGCCGCGCCCUCGGGGCUAAGCAGCAGCUGCGGCAGGCGCGGCGGGGGGUCGCGACGACGUGUGGCGCAUAAUGCAUAACGCACCGUAGCAGUCGUCCUGGAAGAAGUUGAGCAGCACGGUGCGGCCCUCGGCGGCGGCGCGCUGCGUGAGCAGGUCCACGCAUGCGGGCGUGCGCACUACCACCAUGUUGGGCGGCAGGGAGCCCUCGUACCUGUUGGGUUUGGGACAUUUGGAGAGCGUAAAGGGUAUGUUUGCGGGGAUGAGGGGUUGGGUUUGGGGAGGGGGCGGGAGGCAGGCGAGCUCGG